rnacentral:rRNA from 1 species
GAUGAACGCUGGCGGCGUGCCUAAUACAUGCAAGUCGAGCGAACAGACGAGGAGCUUGCUCCUCUGACGUUAGCGGCGGACGGGUGAGUAACACGUGGAUAACCUACCUAUAAGACUGGGAUAACUUCGGGAAACCGGAGCUAAUACCGGAUAAUAUAUUGAACCGCAUGGUUCAAUAGUGAAAGACGGUUUUGCUGUCACUUAUAGAUGGAUCCGCGCCGCAUUAGCUAGUUGGUAAGGUAACGGCUUACCAAGGCAACGAUGCGUAGCCGACCUGAAAGGGUGAUCGGCCACACUGGAGCUGAGACGCGGUCCAGCCUCCGACGGGAGGCAGCAGUAGGGAAUCUUCCGCAAGGGGCGGAAGCCUGACGGAGCAACGCCGCGUGAGUGAUGAAGGUCUUCGGCUCGUAAAACUCUGUUAUUAGGGAAGAACAAAUGUGUAAGUAACGAUGCGCGUCUUGACGGUACCUAAUCAGAAAGCCACGGUUAACUACGU